CUGUUGCCGUGCAGGCUGCGGAUUCCUCCAGUCCCUCCCUCGGCCGCCUCUCCUGCCGGAGCGAGCGCGCAACCCCGCGCAGCAGCGCCCAGCGGUCCCGUCCUGUGAGCCCCGGCCCCAGCCGCGGACAGCCCCGCGGAGUCGCCUCCCGGCCCACCCGCCCGGCCGCCGAGGAGCGGGAGGAGGACGGGACCCCGGCGCCCCCACCCCAUCCCUGGAGAACUCUAAGAAGGAACUGAUGUGGAGGAGCAGCUGAGACAGUUCAAGAUGACGACCACAGUAGCCACAGACUAUGACAACAUUGAGAUCCAACAGCAGUACAGCGAUGUCAACAACCGCUGGGACGUGGAUGACUGGGACAACGAGAACAGCUCUGCGCGGCUCUUUGAGCGGUCCCGCAUCAAGGCUCUGGCAGAUGAGCGUGAAGCUGUGCAAAAGAAGACCUUCACCAAGUGGGUCAAUUCUCACCUUGCCCGAGUGUCCUGCCGGAUCACAGACCUGUACACUGACCUUCGAGAUGGACGGAUGCUCAUCAAGCUGCUGGAGGUCCUUUCUGGAGAGAGACUGCCUAAACCAACCAAAGGAAGAAUGCGCAUCCACUGUCUGGAGAAUGUGGACAAGGCCCUUCAGUUCCUGAAAGAGCAGAGAGUUCAUCUUGAGAACAUGGGGUCCCAUGACAUUGUGGAUGGGAAUCACCGGCUGACCCUUGGCCUCAUUUGGACCAUCAUCCUUCGCUUCCAGAUCCAGGACAUCAGUGUGGAAACAGAAGAUAACAAAGAGAAGAAGUCUGCCAAGGAUGCCUUGCUAUUAUGGUGCCAGAUGAAGACAGCUGGGUACCCCAAUGUCAACAUUCACAAUUUCACCACUAGCUGGAGAGAUGGCAUGGCCUUCAAUGCACUGAUACACAAACACAGACCUGAUCUGAUAGAUUUUGAUAAACUGAAGAAAUCCAAUGCACACUACAAUCUGCAGAAUGCAUUUAACCUGGCAGAGCAGCAUCUUGGCCUCACUAAACUGUUGGACCCUGAAGACAUCAGUGUGGACCACCCUGAUGAGAAAUCCAUUAUCACUUACGUGGUGACUUAUUACCACUACUUCUCUAAGAUGAAGGCCUUGGCUGUUGAAGGAAAACGAAUUGGAAAGGUGCUUGACAAUGCUAUUGAAACAGAAAAAAUGAUUGAGAAAUAUGAAUCACUUGCCUCUGACCUUCUGGAGUGGAUUGAACAAACCAUCAUUAUUCUGAACAAUCGCAAAUUUGCCAACUCACUGGUUGGGGUUCAACAGCAGCUUCAGGCAUUCAACACUUACCGCACUGUGGAGAAACCACCCAAAUUUACUGAGAAGGGGAACUUGGAAGUGCUGCUUUUCACUAUUCAGAGCAAGAUGAGGGCCAACAAUCAGAAGGUCUACAUGCCCCGAGAGGGAAAGCUCAUCUCUGAUAUCAACAAGGCCUGGGAAAGACUGGAAAAAGCAGAACAUGAGAGAGAACUGGCUCUGCGGAACGAGCUCAUAAGACAGGAGAAACUGGAACAGCUUGCCCGCAGAUUUGACCGCAAGGCAGCUAUGAGGGAGACUUGGCUGAGCGAAAACCAGCGUCUGGUGUCUCAGGACAACUUUGGAUUUGACCUUCCUGCCGUUGAGGCUGCCACAAAAAAGCAUGAGGCCAUUGAGACAGACAUUGCUGCCUAUGAGGAGCGUGUGCAGGCUGUGGUGGCUGUGGCCAGGGAGCUUGAGGCAGAGAACUACCAUGACAUCAAACGCAUCACAGCAAGGAAGGACAAUGUCAUCCGGCUCUGGGAAUACCUGCUGGAACUACUCAGGGCUCGGAGACAGCGUCUCGAGAUGAACCUAGGGCUACAGAAGAUAUUCCAGGAAAUGCUCUACAUUAUGGACUGGAUGGAUGAGAUGAAGGUGCUAUUAUUGUCUCAAGACUACGGCAAACACUUACUCGGCGUGGAAGACCUGUUACAGAAACAUGCUCUGGUUGAAGCAGACAUUGGAAUCCAGGCAGAGCGUGUGAGAGGCGUCAAUGCUUCUGCCCAGAAGUUUGCAACAGAUGGGGAAGGCUACAAGCCCUGUGACCCCCAGGUGAUCCGAGACCGUGUGGCCCACAUGGAAUUCUGCUAUCAAGAGCUUUGCCAGCUGGCGGCGGAGCGCCGAGCCCGUCUCGAGGAGUCCCGUCGCCUCUGGAAGUUCUUUUGGGAAAUGGCAGAAGAGGAAGGCUGGAUUCGGGAAAAGGAGAAGAUUCUGUCCUCUGAUGAUUAUGGGAAGGACUUGACCAGUGUCAUGCGCCUGCUCAGCAAGCACCGGGCAUUCGAGGAUGAGAUGAGUGGCCGUAGUGGCCACUUUGAGCAGGCCAUCAAGGAAGGUGAAGACAUGAUCACAGAGGAACACUUUGGAUCAGAAAAGAUCCGUGAGAGGAUCACUUACAUUCGGGAGCAGUGGGCCAAUCUGGAGCAACUCUCGGCCAUUCGGAAGAAGCGCCUAGAAGAGGCUUCGCUGCUGCACCAGUUUCAGGCGGAUGCUGAUGACAUCGACGCCUGGAUGCUGGACAUCCUCAAGAUUGUCUCCAGCAGCGACGUGGGCCACGACGAGUACUCCACACAGUCUUUGGUCAAAAAACACAAGGAUGUGGCAGAAGAGAUCACCAACUACAGACCCACCAUUGACUCACUGCAUGAGCAAGCCAGCGCCCUCCCCCAGGAGCAUGCAGAGUCUCCAGAUGUGAGAGGCAGGCUGUCAGGCAUUGAGGAGCGGUACAAGGAGGUGGCAGAGCUGACAAGGCUGAGGAAGCAGGCGCUGCAAGACACCCUGGCCCUGUACAAGAUGUUCAGUGAGGCUGACGCCUGUGAGCUCUGGAUUGAUGAGAAGGAGCAGUGGCUCAACAACAUGCAGAUCCCAGAGAAGCUGGAGGACCUGGAGGUCAUCCAGCAUAGAUUUGAGAGCCUAGAACCAGAAAUGAACAACCAGGCCUCCCGGGUUGCUGUGGUGAACCAGAUUGCACGCCAGCUGAUGCACAGUGGCCACCCCAGUGAGAAAGAAAUCAAAGCUCAGCAGGACAAGCUCAACACAAGGUGGAGUCAGUUCAGAGAACUGGUGGACAGGAAGAAAGAUGCUCUUCUCUCUGCCCUGAGCAUCCAGAACUACCACCUUGAGUGCAAUGAAACCAAAUCUUGGAUUCGGGAAAAGACCAAAGUUAUUGAGUCUACCCAGGACCUGGGCAAUGACCUGGCUGGUGUCAUGGCCUUGCAGCGCAAGCUGACUGGCAUGGAGCGGGAUCUGGUGGCCAUUGAGGCGAAGCUGAGCGACCUGCAGAAGGAAGCAGAGAAACUGGAGUCUGAACACCCUGACCAGGCUCAGGCCAUCCUGUCCCGUCUGGCUGAGAUCAGCGACGUGUGGGAGGAAAUGAAGACCACCCUGAAGAACAGAGAGGCCUCCCUGGGAGAGGCCAGCAAGCUGCAGCAGUUCCUGCGGGACUUGGAUGACUUCCAGUCCUGGCUCUCCAGGACCCAGACAGCCAUCGCCUCGGAGGACAUGCCCAACACUCUGACCGAGGCAGAGAAGCUUCUCACGCAGCACGAGAACAUCAAAAACGAGAUUGACAACUACGAGGAGGACUACCAGAAGAUGAGGGACAUGGGUGAGAUGGUCACACAGGGACAAACGGAUGCCCAGUACAUGUUUCUCCGGCAGCGACUACAGGCGUUGGACACUGGAUGGAAUGAGCUCCACAAAAUGUGGGAGAACAGGCAGAAUCUCCUCUCUCAGUCUCAUGCCUACCAGCAGUUCCUUAGGGACACAAAGCAAGCCGAAGCCUUUCUUAACAACCAGGAGUAUGUUUUGGCUCAUACUGAAAUGCCCACCACCCUGGAAGGUGCUGAAGCAGCUAUUAAAAAACAAGAGGACUUCAUGACCACCAUGGAUGCCAAUGAGGAGAAGAUCAAUGCUGUUGUGGAGACGGGCCGGAGGCUGGUGAGCGAUGGGAACAUCAACUCCGAUCGCAUCCAGGAGAAGGUGGACUCUAUUGAUGACAGACAUAGGAAGAAUCGUGAGGCAGCCAGUGAACUCCUGAUGAGAUUAAAGGACAACAGGGAUCUUCAGAAAUUCCUGCAAGAUUGUCAAGAGCUGUCCCUGUGGAUCAAUGAAAAGAUGCUCACAGCCCAGGACAUGUCCUAUGAUGAAGCCAGGAAUCUGCACAGUAAAUGGCUAAAACAUCAAGCCUUCAUGGCGGAACUUGCAUCCAACAAAGAAUGGCUUGACAAGAUUGAGAAGGAAGGAAUGCAGCUUAUAUCAGAAAAGCCUGAGACUGAAGCUGUGGUAAAGGAGAAACUCACUGGUUUACAUAAAAUGUGGGAAGUCCUUGAAUCCACCACCCAGACCAAGGCCCAGCGGCUCUUUGAUGCAAACAAGGCUGAACUUUUCACCCAGAGCUGUGCAGAUCUAGACAAGUGGCUGCACGGCCUGGAGAGUCAGAUUCAAUCUGAUGACUAUGGCAAAGACCUUACCAGUGUCAAUAUCCUGCUGAAAAAGCAACAGAUGCUGGAAAAUCAGAUGGAGGUGCGGAAGAAGGAGAUUGAGGAGCUCCAGAGCCAAGCCCAGGCACUAAGUCAGGAGGGGAAGAGCACUGACGAAGUGGAUAGCAAGCGUCUCACUGUACAGACCAAGUUCAUGGAGCUGUUGGAACCCUUGAAUGAAAGGAAACAUAACCUGCUGGCCUCCAAAGAGAUCCAUCAAUUCAACCGGGAUGUGGAGGAUGAGAUCUUGUGGGUUGGUGAGAGGAUGCCUUUGGCGACUUCCACAGAUCAUGGCCACAACCUUCAGACUGUGCAGCUGUUAAUAAAGAAAAAUCAGACCCUCCAGAAAGAAAUCCAGGGGCACCAGCCUCGAAUCGAUGACAUCUUUGAGAGGAGCCAAAACAUAGUCACUGACAGCAGCAGCCUCAAUGCUGAGGCCAUCAGACAGAGGCUUGCUGACUUGAAGCAGCUGUGGGGCCAACUUAUAGAGGAGACAGAGAAACGGCACAGACGGCUGGAGGAGGCACAUAAGGCCCAGCAGUACUAUUUUGAUGCAGCUGAGGCUGAGGCGUGGAUGAGCGAGCAGGAGCUGUACAUGAUGUCUGAGGAAAAGGCCAAGGAUGAGCAGAGUGCUGUCUCCAUGUUGAAGAAGCACCAAAUCUUGGAACAAGCUGUUGAGGACUAUGCAGAGACAGUACACCAACUCUCCAAGACCAGUCGGGCCUUGGUGGCCGACAGCCACCCUGAAAGUGAGCGCAUUAGCAUGCGGCAGUCCAAAGUGGAUAAGCUGUAUGCUGGCCUGAAGGACCUGGCAGAGGAGAGGAGAGGCAAGCUGGAUGAAAGGCACAGGUUGUUCCAGCUCAACAGGGAGGUGGACGACCUGGAGCAGUGGAUCGCCGAGAGGGAGGUGGUUGCAGGGUCCCAUGAACUGGGGCAAGACUAUGAGCAUGUCACAAUGUUACAAGAACGAUUCCGGGAAUUUGCUCGAGACACUGGAAACAUUGGACAGGAGCGCGUGGACACAGUCAAUCACAUGGCUGAUGAACUCAUAAACUCUGGACAUUCGGAUGCUGCCACCAUUGCCGAGUGGAAGGAUGGCCUCAAUGAAGCCUGGGCUGACCUCCUGGAGCUCAUUGACACAAGGACACAGAUUCUUGCUGCCUCCUAUGAACUGCAUAAGUUUUACCAUGAUGCCAAGGAAAUCUUCGGGCGCAUCCAGGAUAAACAUAAGAAACUCCCUGAGGAACUUGGGAGAGAUCAGAACACUGUGGAGACCUUGCAGAGAAUGCACACCACCUUUGAGCAUGAUAUCCAGGCUCUGGGCACUCAGGUGAGGCAGUUGCAAGAGGACGCAGCCCGCCUCCAGGCAGCUUAUGCAGGGGACAAGGCCGAUGACAUCCAGAAACGCGAGAACGAGGUCCUGGAAGCCUGGAAGUCCCUGCUAGAUGCCUGUGAGGGCCGCAGGGUACGGCUGGUGGACACAGGGGACAAAUUCCGCUUUUUCAGCAUGGUGCGUGACCUCAUGCUCUGGAUGGAGGAUGUCAUCCGGCAGAUUGAGGCCCAGGAGAAGCCAAGGGAUGUAUCAUCUGUUGAACUAUUAAUGAAUAAUCAUCAAGGUAUCAAAGCUGAAAUUGAUGCUCGUAAUGACAGUUUCACCACCUGCAUUGAAUUGGGGAAAUCCCUGCUUGCAAGAAAACACUACGCUUCUGAGGAGAUCAAGGAAAAGUUACUGCAGUUGACUGAAAAAAGAAAAGAAAUGAUUGACAAGUGGGAAGACCGAUGGGAGUGGUUAAGACUGAUUUUGGAGGUCCAUCAGUUCUCAAGGGAUGCCAGCGUGGCUGAGGCCUGGCUGCUGGGGCAGGAGCCAUACCUAUCCAGUCGCGAAAUCGGCCAGAGCGUGGAUGAGGUGGAGAAGCUCAUCAAGCGCCAUGAGGCAUUUGAAAAGUCUGCAGCAACCUGGGAUGAGAGGUUCUCCGCCCUGGAGAGGCUGACAACAUUGGAAUUACUGGAAGUGCGCAGACAGCAAGAGGAAGAGGAAAGGAAGAGGCGACCGCCUUCGCCCGAGCCAAGCACGAAGGUUUCAGAGGAGGCAGAGUCCCAGCAGCAGUGGGAUACUUCAAAAGGAGAGCAAGUUUCCCAGAAUGGUUUGCCGACUGAACAGGGAUCUCCACGGGAUAACAUCAUGUAGCAUCUUGUUUGUUUUUCCUGAUUUCUAUGUACAUAUCUAUCUACUUGUGUGAUGGUAGAUGGGUAUAUAGAUAGAUGCCAAGCUUCUUAUGUUCUGGGGGUGGUUUGCACCAUUAUUGGGUCUCUGCCUUAAAACACACCCAAAUUCAUUUCAGAAAAAGCUACUGCUUCGUCUUUGGUCAUUAGGGAGCCCUGGUGUGUGUUUCUGGCCCCAAAUUAUGUGAUGUGUGUCACUGAUCUAUAUGUAUAUAUGUGAUGUUUCCAUAUAUAUAUAUGUGUGUGUGUUUAAAUUUUGUAUCAUCAAGAUGGAUACGUAAUUUUAAUGCUUUUUGUAUUCAGAAGACAAAAAAAAAAAAAAAACCACAUAAGCACAUGAGAAAGGAGUGCUAUGCUUUUAGCAUUUGCUCUCAUGCCUAUUUUUUAUCUAGAUUUUUAAAUUGUAGCUUGCCAGAACCAAUUUUUAACCAACAAUUGGAUUGUAUUGGAAGAAGAAAAGGCCAUUUUGUUUUUUUGAGUGAUGAUGCAGAGACUCAAGUUAAUGAACUUGAAGAUAGUGUUGCUUCUUGCACUUUGAAAAGCAAUCAGGUGUUUCCUGUGCUUCUAGUUGUGUUGCCUUUGUGUUCACCUCCUGAUUGAAGUAUCAGAUGUGCGGGCCACUAAAGCACUCUGGACUAAUUGCUAAAAAGAAGCAACAUGGGGUAGGGAGUUGUAUUCACAUGUACCCACUGUUUGAUCAUAGCACUAUGAUUUGCUUUUAAUGUUUGUCUCUAGUAGUGUGUUGUCUGUUGGCAUGCUUAAAGCACAUGUCCAUUAAAAUUCAUUUUGUUCCUUUUAUUUUCCUUGUUUUCUUGGUUAGUGAUUCAUUUGCAUAAACAUUAAUUAUCUCUGCAUACUGGUUUGGGGUUUUCUCUUUCCUUCUAACUCUAAAGAAAAAAUUUUUGCUGCAGAAUUUCCCUCAGAAGAGACUUCCCUGACCUUUCACCUACCUUGAAGUCUGACCAAGUAUGAUAAAUUGUAGCAUUUUUCUCAUAAACAUCUCUCUGUCCAGGUCAUGACUGUCACUAGUAGUUUUCAAGUCAAACCUGCAGCACUAAAUUUUUUUUUAACCUGGUUUCUGUACAUACUAACCCCAUGUCUCUCUGGACUCACACCUGGCUCAGGCCUUCCACACCAAACUCACACUUCCUCCUCACCAGAAGUUUCCUGAAGUCUCACACUAGGAGAGAUUUGUCAACUUUAAAAUCAUGCAUAUUGUUUUGACUCAGGGUUUUAUUUUUUGGUCAUUUUCCCUCCUAUAAUUCUCCCUUAAAAGAGGGACUGGGUACAGUGGCACAUGCCUGUAUAAUCCCUGCUACUUGGGAGGCCAAGGCAGGAAGGUCAUGAGUUCAAGAGCAGCCUGGGCAGCAUAGUGAAACCCCAUCUCAAAAAAAAGUGAAAACAGCUUAAAUAGUAUAUUGCUCAUAAGAACAGGUCUACAGGCUGUCACUCAGAAGGCCAGGAUAAUCAUGCACACAAACACACCCAGUGUCUUUCUGCCCUAAUCAUACAUUUUCCAUUGCUUUGAGAGUAAAGGAUUUCAGUCAAAAACAACCUUAAAUUGCAUCCAGUCAUAUGCUCAAUCCUAAUGUUAAAUUGCAAUGGUUUGCAAAGACAUAACAUAAAUUUGUGAUUCUCCAUCCCUCAAGUUUUCACCAUCCCUUUUCCUAAAAAAAUUAAUUUUGUUGAAAAUCAAGCACUAAGCCUACAUUUAGGUAAGACCUAAGUGAGAGGUCCAGUUCCCAAGAGUUGACAGAUCUGAGUGGUCCAGUGGUGGUGGCCAGUCUACCGCUUAUCCUGUCAAAGUUAUUGCUGCUAAUUUGGUGUCAUUUGGAAUCUCGGCAGCAAUGGUGGGGGACAUAGCUAAUGAGCCUGCCAUUGACACCUCCAUGUUUGUCUGUGUACGAGGGGUGCCAAUUGUCUGUAAUCCACUAAAGCGUCAGCCACACCCAGCUUUUGUAACUUGCUAAUCCCACACCCUGGGUGUACAUCAGCCAGGGGCCGCUGCAGUUAAUGGUACACAGUUGAUGGUACACAGGCUGAAAGCGAUAAUGAAUCAAGACCCUACUACAUUUCCAAAGCCGAAAAGCCGUGAGGGUUACAAUUUAAAUGAGCUUGGGAAGGAACGCUCCUGAAGACGUCUGCAGCCUGAAGGGUCAGAGCCGCUGGAAGCCUGGCUGCCUCUGGGCUUUCUCGUCUCAGUGCGGCAAGGCACCGCGAUCAACCAACCCGUGAUGGGGAAGGCCCUGGUUCUGUCUUUGUUUGGGGAUGGCAGAAACCGUGGACACAAGCGAAAUGGUCAAUGGCGCUGCAGAGCAGAGGACGAGCUCAAAGGAGUCCAGCCCCAUCCCCUCCCCAACCUCUGACCGCAAAGCCAAGUCUGCCCUCCCAGCCCAGAGUGCCGCCA